CCAGACUCCUACGGGAGGCAGCAGUGAGGAAUAUUGGUCAAUGGGCGCGAGCCUGAACCAGCCAAGUCGCGUGAGGGAUGACGGCCCUACGGGUUGUAAACCUCUUUUGUCGGGGAGCAAAUUCCGUUACGUGUAACGGAGUCGAGAGUACCCGAAGAAAAAGCAUCGGCUAACUCCGUGCCAGCAGCCGCGGUAAUACGGAGGAUGCGAGCGUUAUCCGGAUUUAUUGGGUUUAAAGGGUGCGUAGGCGGAAGGUUAAGUCAGCGGUCAAAUGUCGGUGCUCAACACCGGCCUGCCGUUGAAACUGGUCUUCUUGAGUGAGCGAGAAGUAUACGGAAUGCGUGGUGUAGCGGUGAAAUGCAUAGAUAUCGCGCAGAACUCCGAUUGCGAAGGCAGCAUGCCGGCUCCACACUGACGCUGAGGCACGAAAGCGUGGGUAUCGAACAGGAUUAGAUACCCGGGUAA
rnacentral:rRNA from 1 species